rnacentral:misc_RNA from 1 species
UUCGAUGGGUCAGGUGCCAGG